UACGUAGGGGGCAAGCGUUAUCCGGAUUUACUGGGUGUAAAGGGAGCGUAGACGGCUGUGCAAGCCAGAUGUGAAAGCCCGGGGCUCAACCCCGGGACUGCAUUUGGAACUGUGUAGCUGGAGUGUCGGAGCGGCAGGCGGAAUUCCUAGUGUAGCGGUGAAAUGCGUAGAUAUUAGGAGGAACACCAGUGGCGAAGGCGGCCUGCUGGACGAUGACUGACGUUGAGGCUCGAAAGCGUGGGGAGCAAACAGG
rnacentral:rRNA from 1 species